rnacentral:rRNA from 1 species
CCUACGGGUGGCAGCAGUGAGGAAUAUUGGUCAAUGGGCGCGAGCCUGAACCAGCCAAGUCGCGUGAGGGAUGACGGCCCUACGGGUUGUAAACCUCUUUUGCCGGGGAGCAACGGUCGCCACGUGUGGCGCCACUGAGAGUACCCGCAGAAAAAGCAUCGGCUAACUCCGUGCCAGCAGCCGCGGUAAUAGGGGGGAUGCGAGCGUUAUCCGGAUUUAUGGGGUUUAAGGGGUGCGUAGGCGGAGCGUUAAGUCAGUGGUAAAAUUGGGGGGCUCAACCCCUUCCCGCCAUUGAAACUGGCGGUGUUGAGAGGAAGAGAAGUAGGCGGAAUGCGUGGUGUAGCGGUGAAAUGCAUAGAGAUCACGCAGAACACCGAUUGCGAAGGCAACAUGCCGGCUUCCGACUGACGCUGAAGCACGAAAGCGUGGGGAGCGAACAGGAUUAGAUACCCGAGUAGUC